rnacentral:lncRNA from 1 species
CAGGGUGUAUCCAAGUGAAAUUCUGAUUUGGAGGGAGGUGUCCUAAGCCGUGUCUCUGAAGAGAAAAAUGUACAAGGGAGGAAAUGGUUUUCCCCUGGACAGAAUUGGGUGGAAAGAAGGAAGAAGAAAAGCCUUUUAUUUCUGCAGGACAUAGCCAAAUGCACAAAAGGUAAAGAGGAAUAACUUAAGCAGGAGAAUUCAGAAGAAUCAACAGGAUUUU